rnacentral:rRNA from 1 species
GUUUGAUCCUGGCUCAGAUCGAACGCUUUCGGCAUGCCUAACACAUGCAAGUCGAACGGCAGCACGGUCUGGUUUACCAGAUGGGUGGCGAGUGGCGGACGGGUGAGUAAUGCGCAGGAAUAUGCCUUAAAGAGGGGGAUAACUUGGGGAAACUCAAGCUAAUACCGCAUAAUUUCUUAGGAAAAAAGCUGGGGACUUUCGAGCCUGGCGCUUUAAGAUUAGCCUGCGUCCGAUUAGCUAGUUGGUAGGGUAAAGGCCUACCAAGGCGACGAUCGGUAGCUGGUCUGAGAGGAUGACCAGCCACACUGGAACUGAGACACGGUCCAGACUCCUACGGGAGGCAGCAGUGGGGAAUAUUGGACAAUGGGGGGAACCCUGAUCCAGCAAUGCCGCGUGUGUGAAGAAGGCCUGAGGGUUGUAAAGCACUUUCAGUGGGGAGGAGGGUUAUUAGGUUAAGAGCUAGAUAGCUGGACGUUACCCACAGAAGAAGCACCGGCUAACUCCGUGCCAGCAGCCGCGGUAAUACGGAGGGUGCAAGCGUUAAUCGGAAUUAUUGGGCGUAAAGCGUGCGUAGGUGGUUAGAUAAGUUAUCUGUGAAAUCCCUGGGCUUAACCUGGGCAGGUCAGAUAAGACUGUUUGACUCGAGUAUGAGAGAGGGUAGUGGAAUUUCCGGUGUAGCGGUGAAAUGCGUAGAGAUCGGAAGGAACACCAGUGGCGAAGGCGGCUACCUGGCUUAAUACUGACACUGAGGCACGAAAGCGUGGGGAGCAAACAAGAUUAGAUACCCUGGUAGUCCACGCUG